GACGAACGCUGGCGGCGUGCUUAACACAUGCAAGUCGAACGGAAAGGCCCUGCUUUUGUGGGGUGCUCGAGUGGCGAACGGGUGAGUAACACGUGAGUAACCUGCCCUUGACUUUGGGAUAACUUCAGGAAACUGGGGCUAAUACCGGAUAGGAGCUCCUGCUGCAUGGUGGGGGUUGGAAAGUUUCGGCGGUUGGGGAUGGACUCGCGGCUUAUCAGCUUGUUGGUGGGGUAGUGGCUUACCAAGGCUUUGACGGGUAGCCGGCCUGAGAGGGUGACCGGCCACAUUGGGACUGAGAUACGGCCCAGACUCGUACGGGAGGCAGCAGUGGGGAAUAUUGCACAAUGGGCGCACGCCUGAUGCAGCAACGCCGCGUGCGGGAUGACGGCCUUCGGGUUGUAAACCGCUUUCGCAUGUGACGAAGCGUGAGUGACGGUAAUGGGUAAAGAAGCACCGGCUAACUACGUG
rnacentral:rRNA from 1 species